rnacentral:lncRNA from 1 species
UCUCUCAAGGUAAACAUAACAAAAUAAAAUAAAACGGGUCUGGAGAUUCGCAGGGAGUGUGUUAUGAGAUGGAAGCGGAAUUAGAGUUGGUGGAUCUGAAGUGGGAAGAACUAGCAGAUCAAUGUCCUAUGAACUGUGCACAUAUAUGCCAUCGAGCUGUGCGUCACAUCUAUCUAAUUUCCAUGUGACCUUAUUGCACGAUCGACUGACGUGGCUUUACUCAAGGGCAAGCUUUCGGUUAGUCGGGUCCAUAGAUUGUUGUAUGGUAUGGACUGAGUCCAUCCUCUUGCGAAUGGUGGCAACAUCUUGCUAUAGGGGCUGCUUGUGAAAAUCUUCAGGAAAUCUUUGAUCCUGGCUCAGAAAACCCACCAAACAAACACCACAACCACCUUGAACUCGAUCCCAAUCCAAUACCUUGGUUGCCACAAGUCCUCUCAACCCUAGAAAUGAAAAUGAUGGUGGUGGUAUUACGGUGGAAAUCUCUUCCAAUUCCCC